rnacentral:sRNA from 1 species
AGAAAACCCAAAAGCAGUAAAGCGAGCGGCUUUGGGAUGGCCUGGGACUGCCGGAGGCUGGUGGCGGCGGGGCGCGCAGGCUGCGCACGGCUUACACCAACACGCAGCUGCUGGAACUGGAGAAGGAAUUCCACUUUAAUAAGUACCUGUGCCGGCCACGCCGCGUCGAGAUCGCGGCCUUGCUGGACCUCACCGAAAGGCAGGUCAAAGUCUGGUUUCAGAACCGGCGCAUGAAGCACAAGCGGCAGACGCAGCACCGAGAGCCGCCGGAUGGGGAGCCUGCCUGCCCGGGAGCCCUGGAGGACAUCUGCGACCCUGCCGAGGAGACCGCGGCCAGCCCGGGCGGCCCCUCCGCCUCGCGGGCGGCGUGGGAAGCCUGCUGUCACCCGCCGGAGAUGGUGCCGGGGGCCUUAAGCGCGGACCCCCGGCCUUUAGCCGUUCGCUUAGAGGGCGCAGGCGCGUCGAGCCCCGACUGCGCUCUGCGCGGGGCCGGCGGGCUGGAGCCCGGGCCAUUGCCAGAAGACGUCUUCUCGGGGCGCCAGGAUUCACCUUUCCUUCCCGACCUCAACUUCUUCGCGGCCGACUCCUGUCUCCGGCUAUCCGGAGGCCUCUCCCCUAGCCUACA